rnacentral:piRNA from 2 species
UCUGAGGGUCCAGGGUUCAAGUCCCUG